rnacentral:snoRNA from 1 species
UAGCCUGAAGUGAUGAGCUUGGUUCAUGUCUCUUCUCUGAGGUUUAUGCUGGAGAUAACUCCAAAGACUCUGAUCAGGCUC